GAAGUUAAAGCUUAGAAUUUACUCGGUAAACGGAACUUACAAGAUCGGCCGGAGAUCAAGUUGAUGUAGCCCUGCCAACCCGUACGAACUCGUGAAAAAGAAGAAAGUAUUUGGCGAAGUCGCCUGCUUGAAAGUAAGUGCGAGGAAAUAGUAAUUGGUUGUAUUGAGUAGUUGAUGAUUACAGAUCUACAAAGGUAGCUAUUUAUAGCCCCAUACAGACGAUUCCUUAUCUGACUAGAACUCUAUCCCUAAUUCAAAUAGAAAACGAAUAUUUACAAGUACGAUUCGUACUAGGUUGGUUAUUAUACGCUUCACGGGCUGAUUUCCUCUUCAUCCUUCUGCUCCCUUCCAAGCCCAUACCGGCCCAAUUAUUUCCAACCUCCUAAUCGGCCGAUUCCUCAUCGGCAAAGGGUAACCGAUUGGGAACCUGGCAUGUCUGAUCCAAACCCCAAGGGUUAAGCGAGGCAGAAGUCCUAAAGAUCCAUCGGCCGAUCCUGUACUGGAGCAUCGGCCGAUCUUGGACUAUAGCGCCAACCAACCGAUCUCUAACUGUAGCGCCAUUUGGCCGAUUUCCAACUGUCACCCCCGCAUUCUACUAUACCUUCCCAUUUCCUCUUUUCCUGGCG
rnacentral:lncRNA from 1 species